ensembl:misc_RNA
CAGGACAGGUACAGAACAGGCAGCCACAGUGCGAGCUUUCCCCCACCACCCCAUCCAUGUGCCUCAACCCUAACCUGGAGGGACUACCUCUAGA